rnacentral:tRNA from 1 species
GGAAGCGGAAGGGGAACUGGUGUCCCCCGCGGCCUUCAAAGCCGUUGUUGUGUGCUAUAACCACACAGGAUCGGUUCGAUUCCGAUGCGCUUCCGCCA